GCCAACAUAGCUCAGCUGGUAGAGCAGCUCACUCGUAAUGAGCAGGUCACCGGUUCGAGUCCGGUUGUUGGCUC
rnacentral:tRNA from 1 species